AGCGUGAGGGGCAGACGGGGAGAGCAGGAGACCCGGGCCGGGAGCGGGGCUGCCAGGGUCCAUUGUACUCACGCCAGGGGGCUGAAGAGAUUCUUGUCCUGGUUCUGUUUAUCAGCCAAACUUUAGCUGACCUUUGGACUUGUUAAACAAGUAGCUUGCAGCCUAGUGUGGAAGGCUCCGGGACUUUUCCACCGGCUGCGGGUCCGGCUUUAGUCCGGAGAGAAGAAGAAACUGCGCUUCGGGGGUUCAGCUCCAGGACACAGCGGUUCCCGGGGCCAGGGGCGGCGCUCUGCAGAGGCGAGGUCAAGGUGGCCCUGGCAGGCGUCUCCCACGCCAAGUUGGGAAGGCGCGGAGUAAGCCGCUGGGGGAAAGAAGUAUUUUUCCACGCCGGCCUGGCCCAGGAAGGAAGCCGGGAACCUUUCAGCGCUAUCGGAGUUUCACCUGCCUCUCCCUGAGGCGUCCAGGGGAAGGAAGGAUGCAGGAGUCGCACCCAGACCUACAGGCUGGACCGGACCUGCAGAAGAACAGGGGCUUUUUAGGAUCCAUCGCUCACAGUCCCAUAGUUCCUGGGGCAGAGAACACCCCCUUCCCCUCUCUAAGCCUCAGGUUCAUCAUCUGUGAAAUAUCGAAACCUAAAGUGCAGGGGACGGGGCAUUGUACACAAUGAAUGAGACCACCUGUGAAACCCUGUGGUCUAACAAUAGUGUUCACACUUUUCCUUCCGGGAAGGUAGGAAGCCAGUUCCUAGUAGUAAAAUCUAGCCCCUCUGGAGGUUUAGGAUUCUCAGAAUCAGGCAGAUCCAGUGCUGGGGUUGGAGGGACCAGGAGAUUCAGAAUGAGCAGGCAAUUUGCAAAGGAGCUUCUAAGCAAAUUCUCCUCCCUUCCCACCUUUAAAAGACAAUUAGGAGGAAGGGGGGAAUUUCAGCACGGGUGGGGUGGGGAGGGUCUGCAGUCCUGUCUGCUUGUUUCAGGAUCAAAUCUCCCAGGUGUAUGAGGGCUGAAACUCCAGAUGUGGCUGAUCCAAGUCAGGCUGCUAAGGAGCUAGGCUGCCUCUUUUAAAUACAGGGUCUGCUCCACACGCCUGGGCGACCCAUGAGAAAGGGGUGGUUGUAUGCACAGAGCUCUGGGGGACCUUUACACCGUCUCAGUGUCUUUCCCGGAGAGAGGGGUAAUAAGUUCAUAGAAACGAGGGCUCUUCAUUUCACCUUAUUGUCUUCUAGUUUGUUGUGACAUACGGCAGAUCCUUGGCUCUCACAAUUCAGCCCAAUGGGAGAACAUUUUCUGCCUACCCAGCUCCCCUCAACGGGGAUAAUGAAGUGUUCAGAGUAAAUGUCCCUGGAGAACAAUCGCUUUUUCUCUGUCUCUCACUUACUAUCAGGAUAGAAGCAGUCAAGUGUAAUGAAGAUCAGUUUCUGUGUUUAGCUGGAAAACCCAUUAAAAAACCAGCCAUCACUUCCCUUUUACCAACAAAGCUUUGAUUUGUAGUUCCAACUGCUGUGUUCCCCGUCUGACUCUCAAGCUUCCUUACCUCUCAAAAUUCAGGUGUCAGAAAACCCAUUCUUCCCCCUACCCCAAGCCAACUAUGGGAAUGUACAGGAAGUUGCACAGAGUACAGGGAAACUUCCUAUGCGUGUCCAGGUAAUCUGGCUAUUAAUAUCCAGCAACUUCCUGUAACUCUCCUGUCCAGAUCUACCUUGUAUAUACCACCUGAUGCAACAUGGGUGCUCACCAACCAAGUAAUUGCAACUGUGCAUCUGUGAGCAGAUCCAAUAUCUACCCCUUCAUAUGGAAAUUUAAAAAGAAAAGUGUAAGUAUCCCACUUUUCUUUUCAAGGAUGUGGGUCACAAAUGCUAACCAAAUGAGUUAUCACAGAAAACCCUUUGGUUAAGCUUCCCCCAAACAGAGGAAGCCAGAGUACAGCUGAAAAACCCUUGUUUAUGCUUCACACAAGAUGAAGUAGUGACGGGCUGAUAUAGUAGCCCCAUUUUAAAGAAAUGGGAAAAGAAGACAUAGGACACUUUAAGGAGGUGGCUUGGAGCUACUGUAAUAAGUUAAUGGAAGGGUUGAGAUUGGGGCUCAGGACUUUUGAGCAGGGCUUUAGGAUGAAAGAGGAAGGGCUCCAGUUUUACUGCUUUGGGAGAUGGGAAGUUAAAAGGGGGAAUUCUGCUGUGAUUCCACGGCAGAGAAUAGAGAGCAGAUGUUGGAGUCAAACAGACCUAAAUUUGGGUUCUCCAAUCUGCUUAGCCAGCUGUGCAACUUGGGCACAUUAUAUAAUCUUUCUGAGCCUCAGUUUCCUUAGGUGGAAAAUAAUGAUAAUACUCUACUGUGUUUUUGUGAAGAUUAAAUGAGUUAGUAGCUGCAGGUUUCUGGAUAUGAUAUGUUUAGAAAGAGGCAGCACAUCAUGAAAACACGCCAAGAAGUGAGGCGGCCGAUCUCUUUGGUCUCUUUUAUUCCCAGCUUGUUUUUUUAAGAGUUACUGAAUUCAAAGAGACUGCAUUAGGUUCUUCUACUCAAACAAUGAAUUCGCUGCUCAAAUCCCAAGAUUUUCUAUAGGAAAUGUAGUCCCUGGUCCAAGAUAAUUUAAAAUCCAGAUGGCUCAUUACUGUGUGAAGGUUUUCCGGGCACUACCUUGGAAGUUUCACAGAAUGGCAAGUGUGAUUGCCAUGGACUCAGUCUCUCCUGUAACUUCACGGCAUAAAGGAUAUUUCUUUCCUGCUCUUGUGCACACAGUCUUCCCCCUACUUUCCAGGCUUACCCUGAUUUGCUUACAGCAGGGAGAGCCUGGUCCUCUCCGUUCCCUGCUGCUCUACUCUCCAAGGCUUUCACAUUGAUUUGGGAGAGUCUCUAGAAGGCCUCAAAAUGAAAUAAUCUCUAGAGUAAAACGUGAAUACAGCCCUACCCUAGUCUGAAGGAGGUUGGGGGCCUUAUUGUUGGAGAGCGGUGCUGCAGCCUAGAGAACAGUCUAGACUGUGGUGUUAGAGCCUGAGUUUCCAGCUCUAGAUACAACACUCUUUUUGGGAUAACUCUUGACCUCCAAAGGCUUGGCUGAGCACCUUUUCUGAUUCUGCUUUUGAAAAAUGGCCAAUUGGUCUGGAUGACCAUUUAAGUUCCCUAACUUUUCUAUGAUUUGAAAUUCCGGAAUUAGCAGGGUGUCCAUUUCCAGGCCUUUGGGCUGAUGAUCCAUGAGCUCAGGCCAGAACUCUGGGUAGUGCUGGACAUGGGACUGUUGACUUGCCUGUGAGGAAAGACACCACGGACAGUAAGCUCCAAGAGGGCAGGGACCAUUUCACGCCUUACUCUUCAAUGCCCGGAGAGGUGUCUGAUCCAUAAGAGAUGCUCAGUGAAGCCCUUGUUGAAUAAAUGAAAAAGCGAUCAUCCCUGCAUGAUGCCAUUAAGGGUGAUUUUUGUGUCCUUAUUUAUACUUCUCAAUUUUCCAAGUUGUCAGCAAUGAAGUUGUAGUUUAAAUACCUUUCCCAGACGCAAAAGGGUAUAUAUUGUGUGAUUCCAUUUAUAUGAAGUUAAAAAGCAGGAAAAACGAAUCCAUGGUGAUAGAGGUUAAAAUUGAGGUUAUUGGGGGAUGUAUUCACAGGGAUGGGUAAUGAGGGAGCUUUCUGGGGUGCUGAAAAAGUGCUGUAUCUUGAUCAGAAUGGUGGAUACAUCAUCAGGCUACACAUUUAGUAUUUGUGCAUGUUGCUGUAAAUGAUAACUUAGUAAAAAGUAAAUAAACAAUUCCAAAGUGUAAAAUGUAAA